UACGGGGGGAGCAAGCGUUGUUCGGAUUUACUGGGCGUAAAGGGCGCGUAGGCGGUCAGCACAAGUCAGUUGUGAAAUCUCCGGGCUUAACUCGGAACGGUCAAGUGAUACUGUCGGGCUAGAGUACAGAAGGGGCAACUGGAAUUCUCGGUGUAGCGGUGAAAUGCGUAGAUAUCGAGAGGAACACCUGCGGCGAAGGCGGGUAGCUGGGCCGACACUGACGCUGAUGCGCGAAAGCCAGGGGAGCGAACGGG
rnacentral:rRNA from 1 species